GGCCUGCCACAGAGAGGCCUGCCAAAUUGGAUUAGCCAGCCCAGUGUCUGGCCUAAAGCCUGACAGGGGAUGCGGAAGCCUCAGCGCCACCCACAGUGAGAAAUUACCAAUCCCGGCAGGGUCUCUGCCUGCCAUUUUCACUGCGGAGCAGGCAGGAAAGGCCCAAGGAUGACCAGGCAAGGAUGCUCUGCCGCUGAAAAUGGAACCGCUUAAGUUGGAGACAGAAGACCCUGGGGCAGCAACCUGCCACCUCUGGGUGUUCCCUCAUAAUCCGCAUUGUGGACAGCUUCAGAGUGACUAGCCCCAGGUGGACUAGCCUCACAAACUGCUCCAGCUGCUGCCUGCAUAUCCCUAGCCCCAGAUGGUCCCACAGAGCCCGGACAGCAAGUGAAACAGCCUGCUCUUCCAGGACUUAGCCAGCACCCCAGAUUUCUUGGGUCCCCAAAGAUGUGGACACCUCCAGACAAUAGGAAGCGGUCUGAGGAGCAUGGCACCCCAUUCCUGCCUCACUGGUCAUCACUUCCUGUUUCUUCACCUUUUAUAAUAAAGAAAGAAGGAAUACUAGCCCCAGCUUGCGUUCAACGACUCAGUGCCCAUAGCUCCAUCAUCACCAGGGCCUGUUCUCCCACUCUCCAUCUUUCUGUCUUUAUCUCUCAUGUCCCUACUCCGAGACAUUUCACCCACCACAUAAACCCUCACACUUGCUGCUUUUACAGAGGACCCGAGUAUAGUUUCCAGCAC